UACGGAGGGUGCAAGCGUUGUCCGGAAUCACUGGGCGUAAAGGGCGCGUAGGCGGCUCAUGAAGGCUGUGGUGAAAGUCCGGGGCUCAACCUCGGAUCGGCCGUGGCGACUCGUGGGCUGGAGCACUGUAGAGGCGGGUGGAAUUCCGGGUGUAGCGGUGAAAUGCGUAGAGAUGUGGAGGAACACCAGUGGCGAAGGCGGCUCUUUGGUCUGUAACUGACGCUGAGGCGCGAAAGCGUGGGGAGCGAACAGG
rnacentral:rRNA from 1 species